UACGUAGGGUGCUAGCGUUGUCCGGAUUUAUUGGGCGUAAAGGGCGCGUAGGCGGCUUGAUAAGCGUGCGGUGAAAGCCCGGGGCUCAACCCCGGGUCGGCCGUGCGAACUGUCGAGCUGGAGCACUGUAGAGGCAGGUGGAAUUCCGGGUGUAGCGGUGGAAUGCGUAGAGAUCCGGAAGAACACCGGUGGCGAAGGCGGCCCGCUGGGCAGUGGCUGACGCUGAGGCGCGACAGCGUGGGGAGCAAACAGG
rnacentral:rRNA from 1 species